rnacentral:rRNA from 1 species
AUUGAACGCUGGCGGCAUGCCUUACACAUGCAAGUCGAACGGCAGCACGGGAGCAAUCCUGGUGGCGAGUGGCGAACGGGUGAGUAAUAUAUCGGAACGUGCCCAGUCGUGGGGGAUAACGUAGCGAAAGCUACGCUAAUACCGCAUACGAUCUAUGGAUGAAAGCGGGGGAUCGCAAGACCUCGCGCGAUUGGAGCGGCCGAUAUCAGAUUAGCUAGUUGGUGGGGUAAAGGCUCACCAAGGCGACGAUCUGUAGCUGGUCUGAGAGGACGACCAGCCACACUGGAACUGAGACACGGUCCAGACUCCUACGGGAGGCAGCAGUGGGGAAUUUUGGACAGUGGGCGCAAGCCUGAUCCAGCAAUGCCGCGUGCAGGAUGAAGGCCUUCGGGUUGUAAACUGCUUUUGUACGGAACGAAACGGCUCCUUCUAAUACAAGGGGCUAAUGACGGUACCGUAAGAAUAAGCACCGGCUAACUACGUGCCAGCCGCCGCAGUAACAC